rnacentral:rRNA from 1 species
GACGAACGCUGGCGGCGUGCUUAACACAUGCAAGUCGAACGAAGCGGCGAACGGGUGAGUAUUACGUGGGUAACCUGCCCUCCUUUUUGGGAUAAGCCAUGGAAACGGGGUCUACUACCGAACAAAGGGGGAUGGGCUCGCGGCCUAUCAGCUUGUUGGUGGGGUGAUGGCCUACCGAGGCGGUGACGGGUAGCCGGCCUGAGAGGGUGACCGGCCACGUGGGGACUGAGAUACGGCCCAGACGACUACGGGAGGCAGCAGUGGGGGAAAUUGGCCAAAGGGCGAAAGACGGAUGCAGCGACGCCGCGUGGGGGAUGCGGGCUUUCGAGUUGUAAACCUCUUUCACUAUAGAACGGGUAGGUGGAGAAGAAGCGCCGGCUAACUACGUGCCAGCAGCCGCGGUAAUAC